rnacentral:snRNA from 1 species
GUGCUCGCUUCGGCAGCACAUACACUAAAACUGGAACGAUACGGAGAAGGUUAGCAUGGCCCCUGUGCAAGGAUGACACGCAAAUUCGUGAAGCGUUCUAUAUUUUU